CAGCCGUAAACUAUGCUCGCUAGGUGUCAGGCAUGGCGCGACCGUGUCUGGUGCCGCAGGGAAGCCGUGAAGCGAGCCACCUGGGAAGUACGGCCGCAAGGCUGAAACUUAAAGGAAUUGGCGGGGGAGCACAACAACGGGUGGAGCCUGCGGUUUAAUUGGACUCAACGCCGGACAACUCACCGGGGACGGACAGCAAUAUGUAGGCCAGGCUGAAGACCUUGCCUGAAUCGCUGAGAGGAGGUGCAUGGCGUAGACGUCU
rnacentral:rRNA from 1 species